rnacentral:rRNA from 1 species
AACGAACGCUGGCGGCAUGCCUAACACAUGCAAGUCGAACGAAGGCUUCGGCCUUAGUGGCGCACGGGUGCGUAACGCGUGGGAAUCUGCCCUUUGGUUCGGAAUAACAGCUGGAAACGGCUGCUAAUACCGGAUGAUGACGAAAGUCCAAAGAUUUAUCGCCAGAGGAUGAGCCCGCGUUGGAUUAGGUAGUUGGUGGGGUAAAGGCCUACCAAGCCGACGAUCCAUAGCUGGUCUGAGAGGAUGAUCAGCCACACUGGAACUGAGACACGGCCCAGACUCCUACGGGAGGCAGCAGUGGGGAAUAUUGGACAAUGGGCGCAAGCCUGAUCCAGCAAUGCCGCGUGAGUGAUGAAGGCCCUAGGGUUGUAAAGCUCUUUUACCCGGGAAGAUAAUGACUGUACCGGGAGAAUAAGCCCCGGCUAACUCCGUG